GACGAACGCUGGCGGCGUGCCUAAUACAUGCAAGUAGAACGCUGAAGGAGGAGCUUGCUUCUCCGGAUGAGUUGCGAACGGGUGAGUAACGCGUAGGUAACCUGCCUGGUAGCGGGGGAUAACUAUUGGAAACGAUAGCUAAUACCGCAUAACAGUAGGUGUUGCAUGACAUUUGCUUAAAAGGUGCAAUUGCAUCACUACCAGAUGGACCUGCGUUGUAUUAGCUAGUUGGUGAGGUAACGGCUCACCAAGGCGACGAUACAUAGCCGACCUGAGAGGGUGAUCGGCCACACUGGGACUGAGACACGGCCCAGACUCCUACGGGAGGCAGCAGUAGGGAAUCUUCGGCAAUGGACGGAAGGCUGACCGAGCAACGCCGCGUGAGUGAAGAAGGGUUUCGGAUCGUAAAGCUCUGUUGUAAGAGAAGAACGAGGGUGAGAGUGGAAAGUUCACACUGUGACGGUAUCUUACCAGAAAGGGACGGCUAACUACGUG
rnacentral:rRNA from 1 species